UGCUGCUCUCUGACAUCCCAUCUCAUUUCUCUCUCCAUGCGCGCGCGUGUGUGCGCACGCGCACACACACACUUUGACCUCCUGGCUGCCUCUUCUCUGGCCUCCUAUGGAACCUUCCUGCUGCCUUCUGAGCCUCAUCCUGGGCCACCAAGCAUGUCAUGUGGAGCAGCAGGUGGGGACCUGCUGAGUGCUGGCACCAGGGCCCAGAGCAGGCACAGGCGGUACUGCCAGCCUGCAACUAACUAACUCAUUUGGCCGCACACUGAAUCCUGUGUUCAGGGGUAAACUCCCCUUCACAGCCAGCUUCUGCUGCCUAGCACGUACCAGUCUCACCCUUGCCCACUUGUCUGCAGGUACCCUGGGAAGGCUCUUGUCCUUUGCCCUAGCCCUGUACAUUUCAAGCCUGGCGGUCCCUUGAACUUUAUUCCUCCUGAAGAAAUGCUUCCUGUCCUCAGGAACAUGCAGAAGCAGAGACACUGAACCUCCAUGGUGCUGAGCCCCACAGGCAACCAUGUGUCACAACCCAGAAAAGCAGCUGUUCCACCCAGCCUUUCUUGACUCUGAUGCCUAGUGCUCCAUAAAAGUAGAUGUACAUGGCUGGCUGCCUUUUAAAAGCCACUUCCCAGUGAUGACACUGCUGCUGCUGCAGACUCGAGCAGUUGAGUCUAGUGCGUGGCUGAGACCUCUGCAGAAUCUCUCCAUCAGCUGCCCGAUGCUGAGGCCAAUUCCCUGGAAAGUUUCCCCAGAUGAUAACUGGGUGCUUAGUGGGGAGUGAGCUAGGAAAACAGGUCUUAGGGCUCCCAGAUCGUGUGUGCAGUAAAGGAGCUCAUAUAGCCCAGGAGGGUGAUGGUUCUCAGGGAAGGGAGCCUCAGCUUGCCUUCAGGUCUCUCACUUGAGGGGUCAUGAGGAACAGGUGACUUUGUUCUCUUUGGUGCAAAGUGGCUGAGAAACACAAAAAGUGGCAGAGCGAACCUGCAGGACCCAGAGAUGAGAAGUGAGUAGGGCUGCUUCUGCCAUUGUUUACAAUCUGCUUUUUGCAUCUGGGGGACUUGACAGUGGCUGUUAGGCAAAAUGCCAGUUUUGUGGUUCAGGUAGUCUCUGAUCAUUCCCUGACUUACCAUUCAUACUGUCCUGGUCCUUUGUGUGAUUGUUGCCUCCACACUUAGUGCCACCUGAGUCCUGGUAAGCUCUACUGUGCCUUUUUGAGUGGGGUCUAGCCUAGUCUCCCAUGCUCACCAUUUAGCAUAUGUGCAAUGCCUGCUGCUGACGAGGCCCAUGCAGUAUUCCUUGUGUCCUGUGCUAAUGUUUUCUGUGUAGGGACAGGCAGAAAUGUUUUCAGCUGAGUAAAUAUAACUAACUUAUAUUUCCCUUCAUGAAGGAUAGAUGUAAUGUGUAUGUCAUUUCCAUCCAUCAUGUAAAUUUUUUGUAAACUGUUUCUCUGCAAACAAAAAAAUGUAAAUAUGCUUCUAAUAAAUAACAAGGUUAUUUGCA